GGAACAGAACCUGUACAAGUGGCGCUUUUACUGGGACAGGAUUUAUUUGUUCUUGCUGAAAGCGAACAGAACAAAGGGUUUUACCUAUUCAGUAACGUUCAUCAACACAUGGCAGGACUGUCGAAACGGAAUGUGACAUGUCAGGUUUCUAAUGCAGCCAUUGAAACACCUUACGAAGUGCAAGACAUUCUAUGUAACGUAGAGAAAGGUAGCCAACCCGAUCUAACAGUUCCUGAAUAUCUUGAUGGUGCAAACUCUUCAACAACAUGUGAGGUGCGGAAUGCUUUCCCAGCUCCGGUAAUAGAUAUACAUAUUGGCAAUGUUUUGCUAUCUGAUGUUCAACAAACUGAUUUAUUUAAUGGAUCUUCUCAUACUUAUACAAGCACAGCUAAGGUGACAAAGACUCACAAACUGUGGAAUGGAAAAGAAAUGUGUUGCACAAGGAAAAGUAUUGACGACUUUGGAAUAGCAGAUCAUUCCAUAUGCAAAAACAUCAGUAUCAAAUAUCCGCCUUCGGACAUUUCGAUGUCGGUGAGCAAAAAACCCGAAUAUAGCGACAGUGUUUCUGCCUAUUUCAUGAACCUUUCUUGUGAAACGAAUGAAUCAAAUCCGCCUUGCGUCAUUGAAUGGGCAAGCAACAGAGAUGAUUUAAGAUAUAUAAGUGGCAAUUGGACUUAUGGUGAACAUGGGAGUUACAGUUUUGUUUCCAAUGUAAUUUACAAAGUGACUAAAGACAUGGUUGGGGGAAUCAUUACAUGUUCCACUAGAUGCAAUCAUUUUUCAUCUCAUUUAACUGAAAUUAUGUUGUAUCCGUUUCAGGUGAUCCAACUCUGUAUUUGAACAUGACAUCACCUGUUGAAUUAUAUCCGAAGAUUACAUGACCGUUAAAUGUCGUGUUUAUGACUAAUGCUAAAGGGAAAUGGACGCUUCGCUGGGAAGCAGAAAAUAACACUGAAAUAAAGACUUGUAAAAACACAGAGGAAUGCCUGUUAACACUGAAUUAUACGGGAGAUGGCGAAAAUACAUACGUUUGCAGGGCAUGGAAUUUAGAGGAGUUUAUGAGAAAUUCAUUGACAGUUUUUAACUCAGUGACACAGGCUUAUGAAACGCUUAUACGCCUAAGGAGACCUGCAGUAAGAAAGCGAAGUACACAUGUGUACGAUGAUGUUCAUUCUAAUAUUGAGACAACUGCGCUUCACAAUCUGACAAGAGUCUCUGCAAGUGCAAUCGAGAACAAAGACGCACCACCACUAUGUGAUAUGGAAGGAAACCCAGUCCGUUCAAACGAGUGUGUAAACUCUUACGACUAUGUGGAUACCCCUACCGCCCAAAGUAACCGUCGGACAAACGUACCGGAAGCGAAUUAUAUACAUCCUAUAUAACCGAAUUAGUUACUGAUCAAAAUAUUUACGAUGAAGAUGGAUUUGUGUGAUUUUUUAAAUCAUAUAAUCAUCAUAGUUUCGCUAACCGUUUCAAUGCAGUACAUUCAACGUUUUUUGAUUAGACAAUGUAUUGGUAUUGGUAUUAAGUGAGUGUUUUUAAUAUGUACUUCUUGUUUGUAAUAU